GACGAACGCUGGCGGCGUGCUUAACACAUGCAAGUCGAGCGAUGAAGUUUCCUUCGGGAAACGGAUUAGCGGCGGACGGGUGAGUAACACGUGGGUAACCUGCCUCAUAGAGAGGGAUAGCCUUCCGAAAGGAAGAUUAAUACCUCAUAACAUCAUUCUUUCGCAUGUUAGAAUGAUCAAAGGAGCAAUCCGCUAUGAGAUGGACCCGCGGCGCAUUAGCUAGUUGGUGGGUAACGGCCUACCAAGGCGACGAUGCGUAGCCGGUCUGAGAGGAUGAACGGCCACAUUGGGACUGAGACACGGCCCAGACUCCUACGGGAGCAGCAGUGAGGAAUAUUGGUCAAUGGGCGAGAGCCUGAACCAGCCAAGUCGCGUGAGGGAGGAAGGUCCUACGGAUU
rnacentral:rRNA from 1 species